rnacentral:rRNA from 1 species
AGGAUGAACGCUGGCGGUAUGCUUAACACAUGCAAGUCGAACGGAACCAGAAAUGGUUUAGUGGCGGACGGGUGAGUAACGCGUGAGAAUCUGGCUUCAGGUUCGGGACAACCACUGGAAGCGGUGGCUAAUACCGGAUGUGCCGAAAGGUGAAAGAUUUAUUGCCUGAAGAUGAGCUCGCGUCUGAUUAGCUAGUUGGUGGGGUAAAGGCUUACCAAGGCGGCGAUCAGUAACUGGUCUGAGAGGAUGACCAGUCACACUGGGACUGAGACACGGCCCAGACUCCUACGGGAGGCAGCAGUGGGGAAUUUUCCGCAAUGGGCGAAAGCCUGACGGAGCAAUACCGCGUGAGGGAAGAAGGCUCUUGGGUCGUAAACCUCUUUCUCAGGAAGAAAAAAUGACGGUACCUGAGGAAUAAGCAUCGGCUAACUCCGUGCCAGCAGCCGC